AGUGAACGCUGGCGGUAGGCCUAACACAUCCAAGUCGAACGGCAGUACAGUAAGAGCGUGCUGUUACGGGUGGCGAGCGGCGGACGAAUGCAGCAUACCAUGGUCUCUAGUUUUUGGUGGGCCGUUACGAACCGAAACUUAAGCUCAUACCGCAUACGGCCUACGGCUGGAAGCAGGGGAUCUUCGCACCUUCCGCGAGUGAAUGAGCCGAUGCUCGAGUAGUUAGGUGGUGGGGGUAAGGCCCAUCCAGGCGACGGUCAGUAGCUGGUCUGAGAGGACGACCAGCCACACUGGGACUGAGCCACGGCCCAGACUCCUACGGGAGGCAGCAGUGGGGAAUAUUGGACAAUGGGCGCAAGCCUGAUCCAGCAAUGCCGCGUGUGUGAAGAAGGCCUUCGGGUUGUAAAGCACUUUUGUCCGGAAAGAAAUGCUUGGGCCUAAUACGGUCGGGGGCUGACGGUACCGGAAGAAUAAGCACCGGCUAACUACGUG
rnacentral:rRNA from 1 species